UCGAAGCGUAACCUACUCCACAUAAUAUUUUAGACGCACACCAACUUUCUUGCCCGCCAUGUGGAUUUUCCACUUCUCUCUCUCUCCCUCUCUCUCUCUCUCUAAACAGUGUCGUUAUCUUAAUUAAAACCGAUGAGCUCCUCGCCGACAAGGAAUCCGACGUCUGCUGAAGUGCCACCACCGUUAUCAUCAACAUCGACUGAUGCGGAGGGUUCGUCGAAGAAGGUGAGGAAACCUUAUACCAUCACCAAGUCUAGGGAGAGCUGGACAGAGGAAGAGCACGAUAAGUUCUUGGAAGCGCUUCAACUGUUUGAUCGUGACUGGAAGAAGAUAGAAGAUUUCGUGGGUUCCAAGACAGUUAUUCAGAUAAGGAGUCAUGCACAAAAAUACUUUUUAAAGGUUCAGAAAAACGGGACACUAGCACACGUUCCACCCCCUCGGCCUAAGCGCAAAGCAGCUCACCCUUAUCCUCAAAAAGCAUCCAAGAACGCUCAAAUGCCACUUCAAGUGUCCACUUCAUUUACUAGUCGAAAUAGCGACAUGGCUGGUGGAUAUACUUCGUGGGACGACGUAUCAAUGAUGCUUAACAGAGUCAUUUCACCACGACAGGAACUUGCUACUCUUCGUGGAGCAGAAGAUAAUAUUGGGUCGACGGGCUUAUUAAAUGUUAGUAGCCCUUCGACCUCCGGUAUGGGAAGCUCAAGCCGAACACUAUCAGGUUCUGAUAUUAUAGUACAACAGGCACAACAACCUCCGGUGCUUCAAGCUGUUCCUGAUUUUGCUGAAGUUUAUAACUUCAUUGGGAGUGUGUUUGAUCCUGAAAAGAGAGGCCACGUGGAAAAGCUUAAGGAAAUGGAUCCUGUAAACUUUGAAACUGUUCUAUUAUUGAUGAGAAACCUCACAGUUAACUUAUCAAACCCUGAUUUGGAAUCCGCAUCUGACUGUAAUGAUGCCUGCAGAGGAACGUACUCUCAUCAGAUGAGGUGAAAACCGAGAUCCCAAGUGUUACCACUGGUUCCUUUGUACCCAACUCAACAAGCGACAAAUCUGAUUCUUGAAGAUAUCAGCCAUCAGUUCUUAAAGUUAAAAUAAACUUUUUGAGUUUUAUAUACGUCAAUGUAUUCAAUACGGUCUGUUGUUGUUUUGAGGAGAAGGGACAUGAGUGAAGUUUUCAAGCUUCAUGUGAAGAUUUUUGACCAGGACUAGUUCCGUGAAUGGUAUAGGUUUAAUAUAUUCAAGAGGUAUCCAUUUUCUACUAGUUCUUGGUCUUCAAGCUGUGGUUCGUGAGUGGAGGAGGGCAGCUUCAUCCUCACACAAUUGUACAAAAUACUAUUUCUACUUUUGUUAUCUUUUUGUUUUGUGUUUAUAUUAUAUGUUCUGUC